GACGAACGCUGGCGGCGUGCUUAACACAUGCAAGUCGAACGGAAAGGCCCUGCUUUUGUGGGGUGCUCGUGUGGCGAACGGGUGUGUAACACGGGAGUAACCUGCCCUUGACUUUGGGAUAACUUCGGGAAACUGGGGCUAAUACCGGGUCGAAGCUCCUGCUGCAUGGUGGGUGUCGGAAAGUUUCGGCGGUUGGGGAUGGACUUGCGGCUUAUCAGCUUGGUGGUGGGGUAGUGGCUUACCAGGGCUUUGACGGGUAGCCGUCCUGGGAGGGUGACCGGCCACAUUGGAACUGAGAUACGGCCCAGACUCAUCCGGGAGGCAGGAGUGGGGAAUAUUGCACAAUGGGAGGAAGCCUGAUGCAGCAACGCCGCGUGCGGGAUGACGGCCUUCGGGUUGUAAACCGCUUUCGCAUGUGACGAGGAGUGAGUGACGGUAAUGGGUAAAGAAGCACCGGCUAACUACGUG
rnacentral:rRNA from 1 species